rnacentral:misc_RNA from 1 species
UCCCCGUUGCCGGGGCAGUCUAGCUAGAGAAAUACAACUAACUAUAAGGGUUGCGCUCGUUGAUGGACUUAACCAAACAUCUCACGACACGAGCUGACGACGGCCAUGCAUCACCUGUCACUGCGGCCCGAAGGCACAUCCAGCUUUCGCUGGACUUGGCAGGAUGUCAAGCCUUGGUAAGGUUCUUCGCUUACCAUCGAAUUAAACAACACGCUCCACCGCUUGUGCGGGUCCCCGUCAAUUCCUUUGAGUUUUAAGCUUGCGCUCGUACUACUCAGGCGGGAUGCUUAACGCGUUAGCUUCGCUACUACCAGGGUCGAUACUGAUAACAGCUAGCAUCCAUAGUUUACGGCGUGGACUAC